UACGUAGGUGGCAAGCGUUGUCCGGAAUUAUUGGGCGUAAAGCGCGCGCAGGCGGUCCUUUAAGUCUGAUGUGAAAGCCCACGGCUCAACCGUGGAGGGUCAUUGGAAACUGGGGGACUUGAGUGCAGAAGAGGAAAGCGGAAUUCCACGUGUAGCGGUGAAAUGCGUAGAGAUGUGGAGGAACACCAGUGGCGAAGGCGGCUUUCUGGACAGUGACUGACGCUGAGACGCGAAAGCGUGGGGAGCAAACAGG
rnacentral:rRNA from 1 species